UACGGGAGGCAGCAGUGGGGAAUAUUGCACAAUGGGGGAAACCCUGAUGCAGCGACGCCGCGUGAGCGAUGAAGUAUUUCGGUAUGUAAAGCUCUAUCAGCAGGGAAGAUAAUGACGGUACCUGACUAAGAAGCACCGGCUAAAUACGUGCCAGCAGCCGCGGUAAU
rnacentral:rRNA from 1 species